rnacentral:rRNA from 1 species
AUUGAACGCUGGCGGAAUGCUUUACACAUGCAAGUCGAGGGGUAACGAGAGGAAAGCUUGCUUUCCUUGUCGACGACCGGCGCACGGGUGAGUAACGCGUAUCCAACCUGCCCCCAACUAGGGAAUAACCUUGCGAAAGUAAGACUAAUACCCUAUAAUUUCCUCAGAUGUCAUCUGACGAGGAAUAAAGAUAUAUCGGUUGUGGAUGGGGAUGCGUCUGAUUAGCUUGUUGGUGGGGUAACGGCUCACUAAGGCAACGAUCAGUAGGGGUUCUGAGAGGAAGGUCCCGCACAUGAGAGCUGAGACACGGUCCCAACUCCUACGGGAGGCAGCAGAUUAGAAUAUUGGUCAAUGGGCGGAAGCCUUAACCAACCAAGUAGCGUGCAGGAUGACGGCCCUAUGGGUUGUAAACUGCUUUUAUACAUGAAUAGAGUUAGCCACGUGUGGUUAUUUGUAGGUACUGUAUGAAUAAGGACCGGCUAAUUCCGUGCCAGCCGCCGCGGUAA